rnacentral:rRNA from 1 species
GACGUAGGGGGCCAGCGUUGUUCGGAAUUACUGGGUGUAAAGGGUUCGUAGGCGGUGUGGCAAGUCGGGAGUGAAAUCUCUGGGCUCAACCCCGGGCCUGCAUUCGAUACGGGCAGACUAGAGUUCGGUAGGGGAGUCUGGAAUUCCUGGUGGUAGCGGUGAAAUGCGCAGAUAUCAGGAGGAACACCGGUGGCGAAGGCGGUGCUCUGGGCUGGAACUGACGCUGAUGGACGAAAGCGUGGGUAGCAAACAGGA